CAGGAAGCAGCCCUGGGCAGGACGCCAUCCCAUUGCAGUGUGCGCUCACACCCCCCCACUCACACAGACCGUGACCAUUUGACACACUGACUCACCUCAUGCACAGCUUUAGGAUGUGGGAGAAAACCCAGGCAGAAUGGGGAGCACAUGCAAUCUCCACACAGACAGUGGCUCAGUGGGACGAGGACGUCAUUGGAGGACCUGCUGUGUUACUGGGGGCUGAGGGUGUUGGGAAUCUAUGACGGUUGCCUGGGGUCCUGCUAUAACUCAGAUGGGAGCUCUCAGGCUUACAUAAAUUUGGACUGUGCAGGCUUCCUUACCUUGGUGAGGAUAUUUUUGGUACAGGAAAUAUCCAUCAACCACCCAACUGCCGUGUACAGUAUAACCUGCUUUCCCCAGAUCACAUCAGUCAUGGAAGAAACCAAGGUCCCUGCCAUGUCCAAAGUAAUAAUCAAAGAGGAUUAGGUCUAGUCCAUGGGUUUUGUUGCCUGUACUCCAACUUCAAAAGCUCCCUCGACCUCAGUGUGUCUGGAGCUAGACUCUUUUUCUUGGUGAUAAGGGCGAUUAUGAAAGAGGAGUGACCUCAGACUUACAGGGCUCAGAAUCUCAUGGUGCUGCCACAUGGCAGGCUUCCAUGCCCCAGUGCCUUGCAAAGCCUCCAUGAAACAGCUCUUCCUAAUUAUGCUAACAUCUGACACUCCUCUCCAGCCCCCACCCACAGAACUCAGAAAGGAGCCACGGGGACUGGGCCAGGAGACAACUCCUUAUGAGAAAUAUCACCUUGUUCUUAGAAUAAUCCAUCCCUCUUCUCCACCCCUAGGGCUUUAGAGUCAGUUUGUCAGCCUGACACUUCCCUUGGGCUAAGUUCUUUCAUAGCUUCUAAUGCAAAUAGAUUGUUGGCAGCGCCAUCCACCCAACCUGCCAAAUAUACUUUGACAUCUCUUAAUCUCACCAGACACAAUUUAGGUCAAGGUUAAGACUAGCAUGAUUAGAUAGAACCUCACUAGUAUCAAAAGACCUAUCUGCCAAUUCCACAGUUUUUAAGACACGUUGCCUGAGGACCCUCAUUCAAAGUUUCUGUCUCAAUUUUGCAGAGUUUUUGAGGUAGGUAUGCAGAUUGUGUUUCCCUGCAUCUGUCUUUUCAUACAGGACAUAAUUUUAAAAAUAGUGAUACAACCAGUAAAAACAAUGACCUAGGGUCAAAUCAUUCCAACUGGGAGAAUCAGAUAAGAUUUCACGAAAGAGGUGAAUUUGAAUUCAGGCCUUUUAAAAAUGGGCAGAAUUUCAACAGGUGAGUAAAGCAGUGAAGGCAUUCCGUCAUUCACCCAUGCAACAAAUAUUUAUUAAGAUUCCAUUAUGUGUCUGGCUCUGUUCUAGGCACAGAGAAAACAUGUGACUAGGAUAUCAUUCCUGCAGUAGAUUAAUUUUGGACUGACGAUGCAAGAUAAGAACAGGCACAGAGUUCCAGAAAGCAUGCGGCAAGUUCAGCAGACGCUAUGGCUAAGACCUCCAUUCACGUGUAUGGCGGCAACCAGGAAAGUACAGGCGACGAUGAAGCAGGGAAAAAGGCUGGAGACAGAACAUGGAGGAUUUUAAUACUACAGGUAUCCUGGGGAACACCAUUUGGGGAAUGACUCCCUUCAUGAAAAGGACCAGGAAACAAUACGUCAGGCAGAGAGCACUGAGAUCUAUGCCUUUAAUGAGAGAUGUGUCUGGAAAGCAGAGCUCUGGCCUUUGAACUGCCUGGGAGUUAAGACUUAGCUUCAUUGUCAUGUAUUUAUUCCUGCUGUUUUGGGGAAUGUUGACAUCCCAUCAACUUCACUGUCAUGUUUGCUCUAUACCAACCUUAGUGUCACUUUUCCUCCUUUGCAAGAUGAAGGGGUUUGACCACAUCAACUAUAUGAUCUUUUUCAGGAUUGAAAUUCUAUGGUCCAUUUAUUCUGAAUCAAAUCUUUGACAUUUCCUACUUUUUUAAUGCUUCCACACCCUAAUUGGAUAGUGUCUGAGUAAUCAGAGUAUGAGCUGAGGCAACUGCCAGUAGAGCACAGCAUUUUCUUUCCUCUGAGAGCCUCCUCACCUCUGAGGAAGGAAAGCAGACCCUGAAGAGAAGUAUACAAUCCUGGGUUACCAAAGCAUACAGUCCUGGUUUGUGGUACCAGGAAGGAGAAAGCAGAAGCCUGAAGAAAAAGUAAGGCCAUUGCUUGCAAGUAAGUAAAGUGGUCUACAAGGGCUUUAGGUGAUAAGAGUUUAUCUUGAUGAUAAUUUCAAGCCUCUGAAGACAGAGAAGUGACAUAAUCACUGAGAGGCCAAGAGCAGAGGGUGGCUGGUGAGCUGUGUGUCAUUGUAAGUGGCAUGACGACAGUCAGAUGCACCAACAGGAGAUAGUGGCAACUAUCCAAAUGAGAGCUAAUGUCCAGGAAUUAUGCCCAAGGGUUUGUCUUGGACAAUCAGGUAGGUAGGAAAUAGGAAGCACUGGAGGAUGAGCAGGUUUGAAGACAAGAUAAUGAUGGCUUCAAGUUGGGACAUGUGGACUGUGAGAUGGCUGGGACCCUGUCCAAGCGGUGAUCUACAGUAGAAAUUAGGAAUAUACAUCUGGAUCUUAACAAAGAGGAUGUAACUAGAGAUAGUCAAUAGCAGAGGAGGCAUGGCUAACUUAAGAGGCAAUGUAGAGUCAUGGUUAAGAGGGUCAACACUUCCUGCUAUGUAACUCUGGGCAAGUUACUCUACACCUCAGCUUCAUCAUCUGAAAAAUAGGGGCAACUAGCUUUUACCUAACAGAUUUGUUGAGAAGAUUAAAUGAGGUAGUACAUGUAAAACAUGUCAAAGUGCAUAGCAUUCUUAAUAUAAUAAAUAUUGUUGCUAUUUUCUCCUUUUCAAAGAUAAGAAGACUGAAGCUGAGGCUGAGUGGAUAUAUAAUUGGCUGACUAUGACAGUGCUACUAAGUGUCAGUGUCAAGAUUCAAACCCAGUUCUUCCUGAGACACAUCUAGUGUCCUUUCCAUUAUAUCACUGCAGCCAAAAGCUUUCACCAUUCACUGCAUUAGCUCCUCCUUUGUGAAAUGAGAACAUAUGUACUUUAUAGAGUUGAUAUAAUAUUUGUAAAGCAUUUAGAACAGUGCCUGGGGGGAUAUCGUAAGUGCUAUAGAAUAUUUGCUAUUAUUAGUAGUAGCAGCGAUAAUGAUAAUAAUAAUAAAGGUUUGCCUGCACUUUGCUGUCUGGUAGAAUAAAAGUUUUAGAACUAACUCAGGUAAUAUAUAUCUAGGCUGGAAUCGGGUAGGGGGAGGAAAUCAGCAGGUGUGUGUCAGAUGUUCCCUUUGCACCAGCAAGAGAAGAAGGGUCCUAGAACUUUGUGAAUUAAGCUGAGUGGAGCUGGCAAGGCCAAAGCACUGUCAUUCUCUGGACUGGGUAGAUGGGCUUGGGAGUGGGUGGGUAGAGUAGAAAGAUUUCGAAUCUUUGACAUCUGCAAACCCCUGAUGACAGUGGCCACAUCUGGUGCCAACUGAAACAUACCCUCCAAAGGAAUAAAAUACCUCUACGAAAUAAAGCUUGGAAGAUAGGCAAAUGGGAGAAAAAUGAGGCCAGGAGUACAGAAAAAGCACAGGUCAAAAUAAAUAUGACUCCUGGUUUCCCACCCUCCAAUCUGUUCACGGGGCUUCAGGAUUUGUUUAUGAUUGUUUGCGUAGUUGAGAAUCUCUGGGGCUUUUUGAUUGUUUUUUAUUUCAAGAUCCAACACAGCGGGAUACAAGUUUUAUGCUUCUAUUCCCAUUUUAUCAGGAAAUAACAGAGGGAAAACUUUUUAAUCUCCCCCUUACCCCAACUCCCAACAUUGCUGAGAUGAUUUAAUGCCUCAUAACAGAAGUAAUUUUGUGAUAAUGACACAAAGGCAGCAAUUAAAAAAUAUUGCUUGUUUCAGGGCCUAUAAAUUGGCUGUUGGUAAUUGACAACAGAAUGUGUUUUCUAAUCCACUGAAAUGAUAUCUCAUUGCAAGCUGGCAUGGUAAUUACUGUAUUUGUACAGUACCAGAGGAGUUCCAGCCCAAGUUUGACAGGGAGUUGAUUAAAUCACCCAGGUGUAAUUGAAGGUUUUGAUUGCAUUGCCUCUGAGCUGAUCAGCAUUAGUAAUAGCCUGGCUUUCUGCUGUCAUGUGUUUUUAGAGCUGGUGGUACAUCAGUGCUUUCAAUCUCCCUCCCAGCCCUCAGCCUCUGCUGUGCCGAUGUCAAGCGACAGCCAAGAGAGCUUCUCUGUGCAGAGAAAAUGAGAACAGACAGCAGAUCCCUCGUGCUGGACCUGAAUGACAUCACUGGAAACAAAAAGAAACUUGUUUCUAAUGGCCUGCUUUGUUUCUUUAGAUGGAGAAUGCAGGGCCUAUAGCACUCUCAAGAUGUGGCUUGCCCACGGCCUGGUCAUUGCAACAUAAGAACAUACGUAUACGUUAUACAAGAAAAGGGCUUCAGUUCAUUAUAUUUGCUCAUUUGGUGGUUUCAGAUUUUUUAAAAGGAUCACUUUUCAAGAGGGGAACUUUAACUUGUUGAUCUUAAAUGCAACAUUUCUAUCAGUUAUCAAGAAAGACAUCCUGAUUCUAUGCUGUGAAGAACCUUUGAAUACAUUGGUAUUAUUCCAUCUAUGUAAGGGGUAUUUUCUGAGUGAUUGUUUUGCAAAAAGUAUAUUGCAAAGGAGAAGAGAAGAUACAUACAUAAGUUCUAAUCCAAAGCUGAACAUAAUAAAGGCUUUACAAAUAAUAUACAGUAAUUGGGGUAGAAGUACAGAAAAUAUUCAGCAUCUCCCUCUUACUGGUCAUCAGCUAAGAUUAUCUAUGAGAGAUACAAAGAACAAGAUUUCUCCCCUCUAGAGAUUUACAGUCUAAUCAAGAAAACAACAGUAACAACAAUAAAGUGAUACCAGAUAAUAUGUUUUUACUUUUCAUGCAUUACUUAUGAAUUUUCAUAAGAACCCCUGUGGUAGAUGCAAUCUUCAUUCUCAUUUCACAGAUAAACAAAAUAGGUUAAAUAAAAGAGGAGUUAAAUAACAGCUCCAAGGCAGAAUUGGAAACAGGUGGAUUCAUAAUUUGAGUCCAAGUCUUUCACAAUGACCUGGCAAAAUAAUUGUUAUUCCCAUUUACAAAAAGAAAACUGAGGUAGAGAGAUUAAGCAAAUUGCCCAAAUUUGGCCAUUAAAAAGUGGGGGACUAUAAUCCAAAGCAGAAGGAAAUAAAUAUUUAGCAUGCCUGAGCAAAGUGCUACGUGAGCACCAAGGAAGGGGGCAUUGCUCAGAUCGAGGUUGAUCCGGGAACCUGAUUGAGAGUAAGAGACCGAGAGAUGCGGCAGGUAGGAAGGCUUUAUCAUACGGGGGAGUGCAAAGCCAAUCAACUGGGGGUCUUCUGCUACCUAUCAUCAUCGAAUUCAACAGAAAGCAAAGAAUUUUAAAUAAAGAAAAUUUGCUGGCACAA